GAGCCCCAGCCUGGGAUUCCCAGGAGUUUCCACUUGGUGACCAGCACUGAACACAGACCACCAACCAUGGAGUUGGGGCUGAGCUGGGUUUUCCUUGUUGCUAUUUUAAAAGGUGUCCAGUGUGAGGUGCAGCUGGUGGAGUCUGGGGGAGAUUUGGUAAAGCCUGGGGCUUCCCUGAGACUCUCCUGUGCAGCCUCUGGAUUCACCUUUGGUGAUUAUGGCAUGAGCUGGGUCCGCCAGGCUCCGGGAAAGGGACUGGAGUGGGUCUCAUAUAUUAGUUACACUGGUAAAACCAUAUACUACGCUGACUCCGUGAAGGGCCGAUUCACCAUCUCCAGAGACAACGCCAAGAACUCGCUGUAUCUGCAAAUGAACAGCCUGAAAACCGAGGACACGGCCGUGUAUUACUGCACCACAGACACAGUGAGGGGAGGGGGCGCCCGGACACUGAGCUCGGGGCUGUUUUCGGGGCAGGAGCCGGUGCUGCUAAGGCCUGGCUUCCUGUCAUGGUCUGCGGCUGCCUCAUUGUCAAAUUUCCCCAGGGAACGUCUCCAGAUUUACAAUCUAAAUGGUGUCGAGGAAGAAGGUGAAGACGAGAGAGCAGGAGGAAUUACGAAAAUCCAGAUAGCAUCUUCUCUUCUAGAGUGGAAGGAAAACCACCCCAUGACACCGAAUCACUACAGUCAUCGAAACACCACUGAGUCAACGGAGUUCUAA